GAUGAACGCUGGCGGCGUGCUUAACACAUGCAAGUCGAACGAAGAAGCGCAGCUUGCGGGGUGGUGUAGUGGCGAACGGGUGGGUAACAAGUGAGUAACCUGCCCUUAAAUAUGGGAUAGACCAGGGAAACUGGGUCGAGUAAAGGAUAGGAGCGUCCACGGACUGGUGGGUGUUGGAGAGAUUGCUCGGUUUUGGAUGGACUAGCGGCCUAUCAGCUCGUUGGUGAGGUAUUGGCACACCAAGGGGACGACGGGUAGACGGCCUGAGAGGGUGACCGGCCUCACGGGGACUGCGGGACGGCGCAGUCUGCUAUCGGCGGCAGCAGUGGGGAAUAUUGCGCAAUGGGCGCGAGUCUGAUGCAGCGACGCCGCGUUAGUGAUGCCGGCCUUCGGGUUGUAAACCUCUUUCUGUAGGGAAGAAGCGAUAGUGACGGUACCUGCAGAAGAAGCACCGGCUAACUACGUG
rnacentral:rRNA from 1 species